CCUGUGCGUUCCACUCCACUUCUGCGUAUCACCUUCCACCCGGCCUAAUCCCCUCCCCCUGUGCCCCAUAACAUCAUCCGGGACUCUUGGUGGGAAGGAGCAGAGAGGAGACAUCAGGAUCCCAAACCGUGAGGAACCAGAGUGUUUAUUAUAUGUUACACGUUCUGUAUUCUCACUGAUCACUGAAGAUGGACACGGAGAAGAUUCAGAAGAUGGAGAGGAUAAUAAAUCUCUCCCUGGAGAUCAUCUACCUGCUGACUGGGGAGGAAUACACAGUAGUGAGGAAGACAUCUGGCAAGUAUGAGACAACCAGCAGUCGCCCCCUUGUGUCAGGAGGACUAAGCAGGACCCAGAGCCCCAUCCCGGUGCCUCCAUUUUACUUACUGAUACAUGAGAGAGACAAUGACCAGGAGAUCCUGGAACUCACCAACAAGAUCAUUCAGCUGCUGACUG